rnacentral:hammerhead_ribozyme from 1 species
AUUUAGUUGACGAGUUCCAAAUAGGACAUAACGCGCGUCCCAGAU